UUUGCCUUUUGUGAUACGCUUUCAAAGAGUCAGGUUGUUUGGGAAUGCAGCCUAAAUUGGGUGGUAAAUCUCACCUAAAGCUAAAUAUUGGCGAGAAACCGAUAGCGAACAAGUACCGUGAGGGAAAGAUGAAAAGAACUUUGAAAAGAGAGUUAAACAGUAUGUGAAAUUGUUAAAAGGGAACCGUUUGGAGCCAGACUGGCUUGUCUGUAAUCAAUCUAGGCUUCGGCCUGGAUGCACUUGCAGGCUAUGCCUGCCAACGACAAUUUGACUUGAGGGAAAAAACUAGGGGAAAUGUGGCCCACUUGUGGGUGUUAUAGUCCCUUAGAAAAUACCUUGGGUUGGAUUGAGGAACGCAGCGAAUGCUUAUUGGCGAGUUUUCCAGGAAGGUUUUCUGAGGUACUACGGUAUCAAGGUUGAUCU
rnacentral:rRNA from 2 species